rnacentral:rRNA from 1 species
AUGUGUUCCCAAAAUAAUGCUUUCAACAAGGUCACUACCAGGCACAACCAAUCAAAGCCAGACUUUGAGUUUUCACCCUGGAAAUCACGACUCGGUACUCAAAGGAGCACCGUCAAUAAAGAAGUCCUCCAAUGCUGCCACCUCCACUUGCGGAGGCUACUACUACAAGUCACGUACCACCAGGAUCGUAGGAACUCAUGCCCAGUCUGGACAAGAACAUAUCAGCAAGCCAAGUCUAAACAACUGCCUGUGAAGCAAAAUCUUCAUCGCAUCCAAGACCCCGCCUUCGCCACUUCCAGGUCCUCCAAUCAUGCCAUGACAUUCUCCGCAUGUGUUGAUCCCUUGGAAAUCUUGGUGUAG